AUUGAACGCUGGCGGCAUGCCUUACACAUGCAAGUCGAACGGCAGCACGGGUGCUUGCACCUGGUGGCGAGUGGCGAACGGGUGAGUAAUACAUCGGAACAUGUCCUGUAGUGGGGGAUAGCCCGGCGAAAGCCGGAUUAAUACCGCAUACGAUCUACGGAUGAAAGCGGGGGCCCUUCGGGCCUCGCGCUAUAGGGUUGGCAGAUGGCUGAUUAGCUAGUUGGUGGGGUAAAGGCCUACCAAGGCGACGAACAGUAGCUGGUCUGAGAGGACGACCAGCCACACUGGCACUGAGACACGGCCCAGCCUCCUACGGGAGGCAGCAGUGGGGAAUUUUGGACAAUGGGCGAAAGCCUGAUCCAGCAAUGCCGCGUGUGUGAAGAAGGCCUUCGGGUUGUAAAGCACUUUUGUCCGGAAAGAAAUCCUUGGCCCUAAUACGGUCGGGGGAUGACGGUACCGGAAGAAUAAGCACCGGCUAACUACGUG
rnacentral:rRNA from 1 species